rnacentral:rRNA from 1 species
UACGUAGGGUGCGAGCGUUGUCCGGAAUUAUUGGGCGUAAAGGGCUCGUAGGCGGUUUGUCGCGUCGGGAGUGAAAACCAGGUGCUUAACACCUGGCUUGCUUUCGAUACGGGCAGACUAGAGGUAUUCAGGGGAGAACGGAAUUCCUGGUGUAGCGGUGAAAUGCGCAGAUAUCAGGAGGAACACCGGUGGCGAAGGCGGUUCUCUGGGAAUGACCUGACGCUGAGGAGCGAAAGUGUGGGGGAGCGAACAGG